rnacentral:lncRNA from 1 species
UCUUUGUUGUUUUAGACACUGAUAAGGUCUUAGCCAUCAACCAACAGCAUUAGAGAUAUGAGAUCCAAAUUGGGUUUCUUACUAGUCUGCCCCAGCACAAGGUGACAACUAUGCAAGACACAAGGGCAUAUGUCUUUCUCCAGAAGAAUUUGCUUAUGUCUUUCUCCAGAUGAAUCUGGGCAGCAAUAGUUUCAUGGUUGAAUAAAUUGACAUGUUAUGGAUUUACCUUAUCUUCAAGGCCUUCUCUUCAGCCACUUCAAAGUAUCUGGAAGUUUGGAACUGGUACAUAUAUG